CAGCGCCAUCUAGUGGUGGCGAACGUAUUGCGGCCCUCUACAAGUAGCCAAGAGUCACCUGAGGGUGAAGCUAUGUAUUCUGUAUUACAGAUGGGAGCAAACCAGUGACUGAGUGCGGGUCCUCGUUCUGACCUGCCACAAGGCCUCCUUUCUUGGUGAGACAAAACGCAGUGAGCUCUUGACUGCGCUCAUUCCAUGCUUCAAGAAAGCACCCGGCCUCUAUUCCAGGUGUCAAGAGGAAAAUGAGAAAAAAGCAUAAAAGAAGCAUAAACUAAUGUGUAUAUAAACACGUAGCCUGAAGACCACGAGGAAACAUGCUACAAAUGAAGAAGUAAUAACAAAUCCACAGUCAUAUGAGGCCACUGAACCAAGAACAACCAUUUGUACUGUGGAUUUCAGGACCACGGUUGCCAAAGCUGGAGUUCCAAGUGGCACCAGGACAACAGUGCUCCCCUUUGUGGUGUUUAUGAGACAAAAUUCAACGUGACCAGCUGCCUCAUGUUCCUGUUAUCCUGCCUAGCUCAGCGAACUCUGAGGCAAAAUUAGAAAACAAGUAUUUUGUUUUCUUUCAUUGCCUACAUUAUAUAAUGAGACAUCUUAAAUGUUGAGUAACUUAACUGCUACUUGUGGGCAGAUUUAUUUAUACAUCUCAAGUUUUCUGCAAAAUUAAAAUAUGUGUAUGAAAAAG
rnacentral:sRNA from 1 species